rnacentral:rRNA from 1 species
UGGGGAAUAUUGCACAAUGGGCGCAAGCCUGAUGCAGCCAUGCCGCGUGUGUGAAGAAGGCCUUCGGGUUGUAAAGCACUUUCAGCGGGGAGGAAGGCGUUAAGGUUAAUAACCUUGGCGAUUGACGUUACCCGCAGAAGAAGCACCGGCUAACUCCGUGCCAGCAGCCGCGGUAAUACGGAGGGUGCAAGCGUUAAGCGGAAUUACUGGGCGUAAAGCGCACGCAGGCGGUCUGUCAAGUCGGAUGUGAAAUCCCCGGGCUCAACCUGGGAACUGCAUUCGAAACUGGCAGGCUAGAGUCUUGUAGAGGGGGGUAGAAUUCCAGGUGUAGCGGUGAAAUGCGUAGAGAUCUGGAGGAAUACCGGUGGCGAAGGCGGCCCCCUGGACAAAGACUGACGCUCAGGUGCGAAAGCGUGGGGAGCAAACAGG